rnacentral:tRNA from 1 species
GGUUUUAUAUUCAUUUAAUGAUUACAAAAUGCAAUUUUGUGGGAGUAGUUGUCAGAAUUACUAAGACCU